rnacentral:rRNA from 1 species
AUUGAACGCUGGCGGCAUGCCUUACACAUGCAAGUCGAACGGUAGAGGGGGCAACCUCUCGAGAGUGGCGAACGGGUGAGUAAAGCAUCGGAACGUGCCCAGUAGUGGGGGAUAGCCCGGCGAAAGCCGGAUUAAUACCGCAUGAGACCUACGGGUGAAAGGGGGGGAUCGCAAGACCUCUCGCUAUUGGAGCGGCCGAUGUCAGAUUAGGUAGUUGGUGGGGUAAAGGCCUACCAAGCCGACGUGCUGUAGCUGGUCUGAGAGGACGACCAGCCACACUGGGACUGAGACACAGGCCAGACUCCUACGGGAGUCAGCAGUGGGGAAUUUUGGACAAUGGGCGAAAGCCUGAUCCAGCCAUGCCGCGUGCGGGAAGAAGGCCUUCGGGUUGUAAACCGCUUUUGUCAGGGAAGAAAUCCUUUGAGUUAAUACCUCGGGGGGAUGACGGUACCUGAAGAAUAAGCACCGGCUAACUACGUGCCAGCCGCCGCGGUAA